UCAAAAUUCAUUGUUUAGUACACUUCGUGUUUGGGAUAUAUAUGAUAUUCAAUAGGUUUUUGAUUUCUGUCAUGAGAUAAAUCCUUAGUUAUGUAUGUGAAAAUAAGGCACCUGUUUAAUUGCUAAUAAUCCUAAUUACUGUCAGGUGAUCAAAAAAUAGGAAUUCUAACGGGACUUGGAUAGAGAAAACGGCACGGGUCGUGCCUAAGGCAAAGGUAUGGACAAGUGUUAUUUAAACCGACAAGAGAGAAGAUGCACAAACUAUUCCAGACAAUAAAAGACGAACACGAAAAGCCUGUCGAAGGGACAGUUACAGGAGAUAUUCCUGAAUGGAUAUGUGGAAGUCUGUAUAGAAAUGGUCCGGGUAUGUACGAAGUUGGCGAGUAUAAAUACAAUCACUGGUUCGAUCCUCUUUCAAUGGUCACCAGGUUCCACAUAGAAAACAAAAAAGUGACCUACCAGAAUCGAUUCUUGAAAAGCGAGACAUAUAAAAAGAAUGUAGCUGCUCAAAGAAUUGUUAUCUAUGGAUUCGGCACAUUGCCUGUUCCCGAUCCUUGUCAAAACAUUUUUCAGAGAUUCCUAAGCUAUUUCACUUUAGACGAAAGAAAUGAUAACACAAAUGUCAACAUCUAUCCCUUAAAAGACGAGCUGUAUGCAUCUACAGAGACAAACUUUAUCAGGAAAGUAGACCCCACUACUCUUGAGACGUUAGAGAGGGUAGAUUUGACUGAUCAUGUGGCGGUAAACACAGCUACUGCUCAUCCUCAUUAUGACGCCGAUGGAACAGUUCACAAUAUCGGAAACUCCUUCAAAGGAGGUCCAAAAAUCUGUAUCAUUAAGAUUCCUCCAAAGAAAGAUAAGUCCGACGAGUUUCCGAAAGGAGAGGUUAUGUCAUCAAUAAAAUCGUCUGGGAAAAUGAGCAUAAACUACAUACACAGUUUCGGGAUGACGGAGAAUUACUAUGUGUAUGUUGAACAACCGAUGUUCCUGAAUCUACUGAAAUUGCUGACGGCAAAACUACGUGGCUCCCCAAUGAGUAAUUCCCUCGACUGGUAUUCUAACAUUAAGACAAGAUUUCGUAUUAUAAACAAGAAAACAGGCGAGGAAGUCAACCCGGAUAUCAAAUAUGAAGCAGAUCCGCUGAUGGUGUUUCAUCAUAUAAACGCUUACGAGGAGAAUGGUCAAAUUGUGCUGGACAUAUGUGCAGUUGUUUCCCAAGAUGCACUGAACUAUGUAUAUCUGAAAGAUCUAACCUCGGCAGAAUGUGAGGCAAAAUGGAGAACAUUUGACGCACCAGAACCUCGCCGAUAUGUUCUUCCCUUAAACGUUGACCAAAAGACACCACAGAAUAAGAACUUGGUGGAAAUAAAACAGUCUGAAGCCAAAGCAGAAAAGACAGCAGACGACACUGUGCAUUGUAGUUAUGAAACUCUUGCCAACACAGGUAUGGAGUUUCCACAAAUAAACUAUUCCCGAGUGAAUGGCAAGAAAUAUAGAUACGUGUACGGGGUAGGAUGGCAUCCGAAGGGAAAACAUUUCAAUACAGUUAUGAAGAUUGACAUCAACACAAAAACAUUCAAGGAAUGGAGCGAAGACAAUUGUUACCCAUCAGAACCAGUGUUUGUACCUAAUCCCAAUGGUACAGAUGAAGAUGAUGGUGUGGUAUUAUCCGCUGUGAACAAUUCUGACUUCGACAAAGGGAAGAACGCCUUCUUAUUGGUGUUGGAUGCAAAAUCUAUGACAGAAAUUGCGAGGGCAGAGUUUGAGAUUCCGCGAUUUACGAAUGGCUUCCAUGGCUUGUUUAAAACAAAUCAGUGAAAAAAUGGCAAAACAGAAUUUUUAGAAUAUCAAUAUUUAAGACAUUUCAAGACUAAUAUAACCUUUUCCAGAAAUAAUUCCUGUACAUAUUCUUGAACUAUUCUUAUAUCAGUUUUUGUCUUGAAAUAUAUGUAUUAUGAUUUGUUGUUGUGAUUUACCGUUUGUUUUCUAGGAGCAGUGACCAAUUGUAUAUGUAGUUUACUCUCUUAGUUGUGUAAGUAAUUGCAAAUCAACAUAACCAAGGACAAUGAAUUUGACAACGUGCAGUUGUCUCCAUCUUAAGUUCUAGAUAUAGGUAACUUAAGACUGCUAGGAAAGUGGACUGUUAUUUCUGGAAAGAAUGAAAAACAAUUUAUUCCAAGUGAAGGCUGUAAGAGUAGAGCAGUCAAACGCUAAAAGAGCAAACGGGUUUAACAUUUAUUCAGUAUCGAUUUAAUUACAAUUAUGUAUCACUUUGUGCAAUAAAUACAGACAUCAGAUAUUAUCAAAUAUUCUUGCAUAAAACGUUUGUUUUUUGCCGAUUUCGGGCAUGCACAAACAGGGGAAAAACGUGUACAAACAAGGAAAUUCUCGUGAGCACGCGCUGUUGGUGAACGUUUUGAAUAUGCUGUUGGGUGUCCAACGUAAGCAAAUUAUGGAUCCCGAAUCAAUUUCGGCCGAAGUCGAAAGGUCCGAGAUUUAUGAAAUCUUUUCAUCUGCAUUUUUAUCAAAAAUAUCAUUUUUCAACCUAACUUUACUUUAACUUGUAAUAAGUGCUGCCUCUCUUGAUACGCGACUGCAUUGACGUUCCGUAUUAUUGUAUUGUUACGCGCAUUUGACUCAAAGUAAGUUUACACGCCGCGAUUUAAUCCCUGAAAAUGAUAGGCAAACAACAUUUACAAAAACAUUAUUUCGUUUUCCAAAUUUAUUUGAGUCGAGAAAGUUGACAUGCUAACUUUAAAUCUUACACUAAACCUUUUAAAAAAUGUGUGUGUCUACUUUACACAACUAUGCAGUUUACUGAUGUAGUGAUGGUGUGUAAUGUAAAGCACAAACAUGACGAAGCGUUAAGUUUGAGAGAUUUUUCCAUAGUUAAUGAACAUUUGAUGAACAGAAGGUAUUUAUUAUAUAUUUUUCAACUUAUUUGUAGAUCUCACCAACCAUGUUUGAGUUUAUAAAUCCAAUCUAAGUUGAUUAUUUCGAUGUUAGAAAAAUUCAAACUUUUGUGUUUAUCAAACUUUGAUCGCGAUGGGGUGGGGUGCAAAGCAAAAUUUUCUACGUUAUAGGCCUAGAGAUUUCAUUUUUAACGAUAUGAAGAAUAUAGGUAUCGAUACCAAUUUCUAUUAAACGAUAAUUUUUACAUUUAAGAAGCGUAAGGGACAGACUAUUUAGUUAAACCAAGCAGAAUUGUGUUCUGUCGGUACCUCACCUGCAAAUUGUGUAAAGACAGGAUGCCGUGUAUGCCCUAUUCUCAUAAUUCCGAGCCUCUAAAAGCUAACGUUCCUACCGAUAUAUCGGGAAAAGGGGGAGUCAUACUUAUUUUACAUAAUUUAAUAUUAAAGAAAUUACCACAUCAAGAAUGUCCGUUCGACAUGUGUAAAAUAUGCACUGUUUCUGUAGACUCUGGAAAUGCAUAAAUAAAACGUGUGUCCAUAACAACCUGAAACGGCCGACUUCGAUCGGCUAAUGUCAGCUGAAUAGUCUUGUUUUUUCGAUAUUUCCAGCACUUUAGUUGUGUUUAAUGCAAGAAUAGCGAUAACACACGUUUGUUUCGUGAAACAACAUGUGCAGAAUCCCUCGGGCUAUGUUGGUGCACUCGCCCUACGGGCUCGUGCACCAACCAAUCCCUUGGGAUUCUGCAGAUGUUGUUAACCCUACAUUUAAAUUCCGAAUUGUACCUUCCGUGUUGUAUACUGCCGGUCUAUUUUCAUAAAUAUGCAUGACCCGACACAUUUCUAUAAAUAGCGCACAUAAAAUCUUCACUAAGUUCCAUUUAAUAUCGAUAAACAUUGAAGAUUUCGUUCAAGAACAAAACAAGAAUCAAAAUGGUAAAGGUAUAUAAUAAAAUGGUCAUUAUAACAGUAGCUAGAUCUGGGACUUAGUAUUCGGCUCUCGUGGAUUUUGCAAGGUCGGAUCACACACGGCGCUUGCGCGCCACGUGAGAUCCGAUCUGGCAAAAUCCACUCCAGCCGAAUACUGCAUCCCAGAACAGUCUACUGUUAUAAUAACCCUAUUUUAUCAUACUCAUCUAUCAACUCCGUUUAAACGUCACUAGUUUUCCAUAUUGACGUUCAAAUUUCAUAUCGGGUACGUGACGUCAUUUGUGACGUCGAUUUCAUGCAUGUCGUUGCGUUUAAAAGUCCUUUAACGACGAUAUUCUCAAUUUUACACAGGUUAAAGAACAAUUUCAUAUCAAUUAUAUAAUUAAUAUUAGUGUAGAAUGUGUAUGUAAUAAAAAGAUUAUCAGAUUUGCAUCGUGAAAUAUGCACUCGUUCUUUCGCGUAAUAAUCUUAAGUGUUAAGGAAAAUUGAGUUUAGUGCUAAUUUUCUGUUUUUCAAUAAUUAUUUGUGCUCAAAUUAAAAACCCCUUGAAUAUAUUUCAUUAAUUUCAUAUUUAAAAAACAAACAAAAAAACAAAAAAUCUUUGACCGGAAAACCGUUUUCAGUCUCGGAAUCACUCUGACCUUGGUCUUGACCAUCUGACCCAAAAACAACAGGGUCAUCUACGGACCACAGGCAAUCACCCUAUGAAGUUUGACGUAUGUUUGUCAAACAUUCAAAGGGGAAACUAUUUCUUGUCUCAAGGUAGCUAUGACAUUCACGUUUGAUCUACUGACCCCAUCACAAUAGGGCUUAACCAUGAUGAGAAGAUGUACAGAACGCCACUUUCGUCAUUAUCAGUUCAAGGUCAAAGGCCGCACUGCCUAUCAUCGCAAUAUCUUUUCAGAAUGGCGGCAAUGACAGAUGUGAGUGGGAAAUAUAAACAUGGACUAAAUACUUUGAUGUGUAGCAAAAAACAUUCAUCGUAGAUGAUAGUGUUUUUGUGUUUGAUAUAUUGACUGGGAUAGCAUUACUCUUUAGAAAUACAGAGCUGUCAAAUCUGCAAUUUUUGUUGUGAAAUUAACAAUCCAUGUUCAAAACUGCUUGUUUUACUAUACAGCAAAGAAGGAGAAAUUGUACCGGACCGACAAUAAACAUCCGUGCAGUCUGAUCAAGAUCUGCACUGUUCGCCAAUUAGUCAGAGUCUUUUGGUAAGCACCCCAUUUAACAGUUAAAAAUACUGUCCAAUUUGAAAGGCGGACAAGUUUAUUAUACAAAUUUAGCAAGGUAAAUGCUAAUAACACGGGACACACUCCUAUCAAAUUUGUAUCGGUAUAUCUAUGUUAUAUAAUAUCUUGCUAUUCAUACAAUGUUUUGUUAUCUUCUGGUCAACAUACAUUUGAAAUGUUCAAAUACACAUUACUUUUGUUCAGUUUACAUUCAUGUUUAUAUGCUAUUUAAUUGACGGAUAAGAGGACACUUACUUUUUAAACAGGCAAGAGAGAAGAUGCACAAGUUAUUCCUGACUAUCAAAGAGGAGCAUGAAAAGCCAGUAGAAGGGACAGUUACAGGAGAUAUUCCUGAAUGGAUAUGUGGUAGUCUGUAUAGAAAUGGGCCGGGUAUGUUCGAUAUUGGCGAGUACAAAUACAACCACCUGUUUGAUGCUCUAGCAAUGUUCACCAGGUUCCACAUAG